UUAGUACUCCCUCCGUCUCAUAUUAAGUGACUUUCCGUUACAUGUAUCUAGACGCUUUUUAGACAUAGAUACAUCCAUAUUUGGACAAAUUUGAGUCACUUAAUAUGGGACGGAGGGAGUACAUG
rfam:Brachypodium distachyon strain Bd21 chromosome 3, whole genome shotgun sequence.